rnacentral:rRNA from 1 species
GACGAACGCUGGCGGCGUGCUUAACACAUGCAAGUCGAACGGUAAGGCCCUUCGGGGUACACGAGUGGCGAACGGGUGAGUAACACGUGGGUGAUCUGCCCUGCACUUCGGGAUAAGCCUGGGAAACUGGGUCUAAUACCGGAUAGGACCACUGCCUGCAUGGGUGGUGGUGGAAAGCUUUUGCGGUGUGGGAUGGGCCCGCGGCCUAUCAGCUUGUUGGUGGGGUGAUGGCCUACCAAGGCGACGACGGGUAGCCGGCCUGCGAGGGUGACCGGCCACACUGGGACUGAGAUACGGCCCAGACUCCGACGGGAGGCAGCAGUGGGGAAUAUUGCACAAUGGGCGCAAGCCUGAUGCAGCGACGCCGCGUGAGGGAUGACGGCCUUCGGGUUGUAAACCUCUUUCAGCACCGACGAAGCGCAAGUGACGGUAGGUGCAGAAGAAGGACCGGCCAACUACGUGCCAGCCGCCGCGGUAA